rnacentral:rRNA from 1 species
UACAGAGGUCCCAAGCGUUGUUCGGAUUCACUGGGCGUAAAGGGUGCGUAGGUGGUGGGGUAAGUCAGAUGUGAAAGCUCGGAGCUUAACUCCGAAAUUGCAUUGGAAACUACCCUGCUAGAGGGUCGGAGGGGGGACUGGAAUACUUGGUGUAGCAGUGAAAUGCGUAGAGAUCGUAAGGAAGACCAGUGGCGAAGGCGGGUCUCUGGACAGUUCCUGACACUGAGGCACGAAGGCCAGGGGAGCAAACGGG